GGGAGACCACUAUCUCCCCCACAAAUUCAUCAAAAAAUCAUUUGAAUGCUGAGCAACUUCCACAGAACAACUUCUGAAUGUUGGCGGAGGACACCAGGCACCCAGAAGGGUAGCCCAUUCUCUUCAAAAGGAGCAGACUCUCUCUCUAUUGCCUGCUCAGUUUGCAUGGAUUCAUGAAGCAAGUUGACUCCUUGGAAAGAUCCACGAGCAAGGAACUGAGAAUUCCCUCUGGCCAACUACCAGUGAGAAACUGAGGCCCUCAGUCCAAGAGCUUGCAAAGAAGAGAAUCCUGCCACCAACCACAUGAACUUGGAAGUGGAUAUUUCCCCAGUUAAACCUUGAGAUGACUACAUCCCAGCUGACCGAGGAAUUACAACGGGGCUGUCUGGUGACUUUAGAGAUGACUUGAAUCACUGUGAGUGCUUUAAGUGGAGAACAAGCGAGAGAAUGCCAAGAGGGAAGCCACAACCUUUAUAUAAUCUAAUCUCAGAAGUGACUCUCCAUCACCUCUGCCUCAUUCUUUUUGUUGGAAGCACAUCUACCCCAACACAUUCAAGGACAUGAAUCAACAGGAAGCAGGUAUCACUGAGGUCCAUGGAGCUUGCUGGCCCCAGAUGGCAAUGUCAGUUUCUUGACCGUGGUGGAGAUUAUGUAAUUGCUUUAUGGUUAUUCAUUGGACUGUAUGUGUUCUGCAC
ensembl:lncRNA